rnacentral:rRNA from 1 species
UACGUAGGGGGCGAGCGUUGUCCGGAGUUACUGGGCGUAAAGGGCGCGUAGGCGGACGCUUAAGUCGUCAGUGAAAGCCCCCGGCUCAACCGGGGAGGGUCUGGCGAGACUGGGCGUCUGGAGGACGGAAGAGGAGAGUGGAAUUGCUGGUGGAGCGGUGGAAUGCGUAGAGAUCAGCAGGAACACCCGUGGCGAAGGCGGCUCUCUGGUCCUGUCCUGACGCUGAGGCGCGAAAGCUGGGGGAGCGAAC